rnacentral:rRNA from 1 species
CGGACGGGUGAGUAAUGUCUGGGAAACUGCCUGAUGGAGGGGGAUAACUACUGGAAACGGUAGCUAAUACCGCAUAACGUCGCAAGACCAAAGAGGGGACCUUCGGGCCUCUUGCCAUCGGAUGUGCCCAGAUGGGAUUAGCUAGUAGGUGGGGUAACGGCUCACCUAGGCGACGAUCCCUAGCUGGUCUGAGAGGAUGACCAGCCACACUGGAACUGAGACGCGGUCCAG